rnacentral:lncRNA from 1 species
CGGAAGCAACUUCAUCGCAAUCGUCCUCAGCGUCUCUAUCUCGAGCGAUUUCUGGAUCGAAAAGGAAGUAAUCGUACUUGUCAGUUACAGUGUCAGGGGGUUUUCCGUCGAGAGCUUCGGCUAUGAGGCCGAAGGGUUUGAACUCGCCCAGUAACGAUAAGCGACGCUCGCCUAUGGACAUUUUCGGAGCUCACAGUGAAGGUGGAGAAUGGUGGUGUGGAAAAUGUAUAUAUAUAUAUAUAUAUAUAUGUAAAGACUUAAAAAGAGCAUGAAAUCAACGAUGGAACGGAAGCAUGAGACAUAUACUCAACUUCCUUCUAAAUCAAAACGAAAUGAAGAAGAACAUGCAUAUUUUUGGAAGAAUAAAGGAUUGUUAGUUAUUUUAUUUUUGUUCUACAUCAAUAGAGGUAAGGAUACCUGCUUCCACUAAGUAAAUAAAGUUUGUAAGAAAUAAAGCCAAGUUAGUUUAUUUAGUAUGCUUACCAGAUGUAUUAUAGAUCAUCAAACAUUUAUUUUGUAAUACACAUAGAAGAGCUUCAGCUGUAUGACCCAGAUGACACCAGCAUACCUAUCAUUUCAUGAUAACAAAAAAUAGUUAGAUUAAAACUGUUCACAUGAAUCAAAAGAUAGCUAGUUUAUUUGUAGCAAGCUUGAUGCAUAUGACACAAGCUUAAGUUAACGUAAGUAUCAAUCACAUGUAAUUUUGAGCAGCUUUUACUCAUUCCCAGGAACUGAGUAUAUUUGAUAGCUAGAUGUUAGUGAAAAUUAUACGCAUCCUCGUUUCUAUUAUAAAUAAUCCAUACUUUCAACUGAAAAUUGCUCAUAAAACUCUAAUCCUUGCCAUCCAAACUUUCUGGAUUCAGUGUUGCAGCCCAGAAAUUCCAGCUACCACUUACCUGAAGAUUUGCCUUUCAUCUUCUAAAACACUAACUCCCAACCUGCAACUAUACUCACUCGAUUCCAUCCAAUUUGCACGGGAAUUCAAACUAAGCAUGUGACUACCAUAUUUUCUAAACACUGGGCUGGCCUCAAACUCUGUUUCUCUAGGUGAGUAUACUAUGGAAUGAAGAAGAUUAAAGUGAACAUUGACAAAAGCAAGUACAUUGAAACAGAACAGGAGAACUUAAAUUUGACACAUCCAUCUACAAAAAUGUGUGCCAGUAAAUUUCUUGAUGGAACAUGUAGAGCAUUUUCUCUACAGUCUCAAACUAGUAGCUUUGACUUCCCGCUUAACGAAAAAAUUGCAAAGAAAAAUUCCCAAAAUUUUAAAAAAUGUCCACAAAAGAAACAAUAACCUUCCUUCACCAACCAAGGAAAAUCGAGUCGUACGAAAGCGACAAUUGUAAGAGGUCAAGGAAACCAAACUAUAGGCAUGAAAGGUCGAAAAAACACACCUUAACGAUCGGAUGCGGCAAGGUAAAUCGCUUAAAAACUCUCGCGCCAAUCGACCAUAUAAUCCUGUAACAAGCACAUGUAAUUUCAGAUAAAGUGAUAAUCAUGCUCAGCAAAAACAACAACAGUAUUUGAAACUGAAAAUUGCAAAUCAACUGUUUAAUUUCUCUUUCCAUUUCCUAGUUGUUAGCUUCAGCAUCUUCACAAGCAACUAAGCACAGAAACAAGGGUUUAGGAAAGAAAGAAAUUACCGAUUCCCGCGGAUGAAAAGCUCGUGAUCGCCGCGAUUGUUCAAUGCGGAAGCAACUUCAUCGCAAUCGUCCUCAGCGUCUCUAUCUCGAGCGAUUUCUGGAUCGAAAAGGAAGUAAUCGUACUUGUCAGUUACAGUGUCAGGGGGUUUUCCGUCGAGAGCUUCGGCUAUGAGGCCGAAGGGUUUGAACUCGCCCAGUAACGAUAAGCGACGCUCGCCUAUGGACAUUUUCGGAGCUCACAGUGAAGGUGGAGAAUGGUGGUGUGGAAAAUGGAGG